rnacentral:rRNA from 1 species
ACUCAAAUGAAUAGACGGGGGCUCACACAAGCGGUGGAGCAUGUGGCUUAAUUCGAGGCUACGCGCAAAACCUUAUCCCGGGCUUGACAUGCACGGAUUAGCCGGCGGAAACGUCGGCGAGGCCGCAAGGUACAACGUGCACAGGUGCUGCAUGGCUGUCGUCAGCUCGUGUCGUGAGAUGUUGGGUUCAGUCCCAUAACGAGCGCAACCCCUGUGGUCUGUUGCCAGCGGGUAAUGCCGGGGACUCAGGCCAGACUGCCGGCGUCAAGCCGGAGGAAGGCGGGGAUGACGUCAAGUCCUCAUGGCCCUUAUGCCCGGGGCUGCACACGUGCUACAAUGGGGCGGACAGAGCGAUGCGAACGUGCGAACGCGAGCCAAUCGCAAAAACCGCCCCUCAGUUCGGAUUGCGGGCUGCAACCCGCCCGCAUGAAGCUGGAAUCGCUAGUAAUCGCGGAUCAGCACUGCCGCGGUGAAUGUGUUCCUGAGCCUUGCACACACCGCCCGU